GUGCCAGCAGCCGCGGUAAGACAGAAGGUGCAAGCGUUACUCGGAAUUACUGGGCGUAAAGCGUCUGUAGGUUUUUGGCCACGUCUGGCGUGAAAUUUCGGGGCUCAACCCCGUCCCCACGCUGGAAACGAGCUAGAUAGAGUCAUUCAGAGGCAUCUGGAAUGUCGUGUGUAGGGGUAAAAUCCGUAGAUACACGAUGGAACGCCAAAAGUGAAGACAGGAUGCUAGGAAUGUACUGACACUCAGAGACGAAAGCGUGGGGAGCAAAGGGGAUUAGAAACCCGCGUAGUCC
rnacentral:rRNA from 1 species